rnacentral:rRNA from 1 species
GAAGACGGACUAAUACCCAAUGAUAUUCAUUGAUGACAUCUGAUUUGAAUUAAAGAUUUAUCGGUAUAGGAUGGGGAUGCGUCUGAUUAGCUUGUUGGUGAGGUAACGGCUCACCAAGGCCACGAUCAGUAGGGGUUCUGAGAGGAAGGUCCCCCACAUUGGAACUGAGACACGGUCCAAACUCCUACGGGAGGCAGCAGCG